AUCGUAAGGACAUGUGGAGCGCUUAGAAGUGAGAAUGCCGGUGUGAGUAGCGAAAGACGGGUGAGAAUCCCGUCCACCGAUUGACUAAGGUUUCCAGAGGAAGGCUCGUCCGCUCUGGGUUAGUCGGGUCCUAAGCUGAGGCCGACAGGCGUAGGCGAUGGAUAACAGGUUGAUAUUCCUGUACCACCUAUAAUCGUUUUAAUCGAUGGGGGGACGCAGUAGGAUAGGCGAAGCGUGCGAUUGGAUUGCACGUCUAAGCAGUAAGGCUGAGUAUUAGGCAAAUCCGGUACUCGUUAAGGCUGAGCUGUGAUGGGGAGAAGACAUUGCGUCUUCGAGUCGUUGAUUUCACACUGCCGAGAAAAGCCUCUAG
rnacentral:rRNA from 1 species